UUUUAUCUCCAUCCAUUUAAACACAUUUGGUAUUUAACAGAUUGUUUCAAAAUGUUUUUGAUCUAGACAUACAGCUUGAAUUCUAUCUGAAUUUUCCUGCAAUCCUCCUGCUGUACCUUCCCCAGUGCUAGGAUUAUAGGACAUAUCACCACAUACAGCCUUCAAAUAGUCUUUCACAAUAUCUUCACAGGGUAGAGAAGCAAAUCAAAAGGAAUACUUAACGUUUAGACUAAUAAUUGCCAAGGUUUUCCAUAGUUCGCCUAAAUCUCAGUUCUUUUCUUUCUUCCUUCCCCCUGCCUCCACCCCCCAGCUUUCUGCUGUAAAAAUAUGAAGCCAUUGCCAAAUUUUGGCUGUGUACAUUUUUUUCCUGUUUUAAUUGAAUGUCUCAGGUAAUGAAAUGUUUAGAGUUUUUUUUUUUUUCUUGUUUUUCUUUUUCUUUUUUUUAUUCUGGUGUCAAUGAAGUUCAGCUGGCUCUGGUUAUAAGCGAUCCAACAGUUUAAUAAGCAGUCAUUUCCCCAGACACAGUGGUAAAUGAAAUGCAUUAUGGAAAACUUGUGAACAAUAUAAUUUUAUCUCACUGCUGAGAGAAAGAAAAAAAAGAUGACCGCCUUGGUCACUGCGGGGCAUUUCCUUUAACCAUGUGUAUUUUCUGAGUUUAGGGAACAGGUGGAAUGCUUCCAGUUGGAGAGAUUUUUGAUUCCUUUGUAAGUGGUAAUAGAGUUAUGUCCACUCUGUUGGAGGACUGAAGGUCUGAUUCGCCAGAAGAUUUGAUUGGGAUGGUGCCUCUUGCGAGUUUGUCAGUGGAUGAUCUCAUUGGCAUGCUGGGUGGAGCUGCCUCGGUUUACCCUCAGUACUCCGUAACAUGCCACCGGAAGCUGGGGCAGCCGUUCUCAACCAUGUGACAACAAAGUUGGGAGAAAUGUCAAGAACUUUCAACAAGAUGUCAGCCCUGUGUUUUGUGAGCCUCUUAUUAAAUACAGCAGGUGCUCACCUCCAGAAUUCCUGUUAUGUGUUCAAAGCACUGGGAAUUAGAUUUUUCUGUGACAUGCAGAGGAGGGCAAAGAGACAACAGCUUGAUGCUGGCAGGUCUAAGAGCAUGACAGCAUCCCUCUUCACCCGGAGAAAAGAGAUUUUAAAAUAACUGUGACUCCAGAGGCUUGAGGUUGUCGCUGUGCCUUAGCUGUGGAGAAAAGGCAAGCUGGCAGCACCACCACCUGUUUUAUGAUAACCUCCAUCUGCCUUGGGAAAUCCCUUCUGGGACCUCUCGGUGGAAAACCUCUCAGCGUGGAAUCAAGACGCUCACCAGCGUGCUGGGGAGUGGGAAAUCUUAAGCAUUUCUGCAGUCUCUGGCCUGCUAAAUGCGUCACGCAGUUUAUUUUUCACAGAGUGACACGUAAAACACUCAAUUCAGUUUAACAACAAAUCUUGGCUUCUAGUUGGUUUCUUGUGUGUGACUUCAGCAGGUUUUCUGGAGUUGGCCGAGGGUGUUUACACAGAGUGCUGGACGCAUUAACAAUGGUUUUGCACAGAAGAUUAAGUGUUAGCUUGCUUCUAUGCUGCUCCAUCGCCCUGUGUAACUCCCCACGGCAAACCUGCUUCCCCACAAACUGUUCCUAGCAGAAUAUCCUUCCUGCUCCACGUUACUAGAAAGAACUCAAAACAGAUGAAAACUAAACCCUCCUCUUUCCAAACUGGAAAGCUUUCCUGCAAGAAAACCCUUCCUUUCGGGUUGCCUGGACACACGCAGACCUCUGAGGACCAGGCCAUGCUGGCUUCAGGGACCUUGUGUAGGAGCAUGCACCUAUGCAUCUGUGUUUUCUCAGAGGCUACCCGUUCUCCAGUACAUGUUUCCUAAUUUGGCCAUGCACAUGGACUAACAUGGAAUCAGUAGGUAUUAAAUUUUGAGAAAGAGAACAAGAAAACACUUGAAGUUGA